CAAUAGCGUAUAUUAAAGUUGUUGCAGUUAAAAAGCUCGUAGUUGGAUUUCUGGUGGGAGCGAUCGGUCUGGCGCUUAGCGCGAGUACUUGCAUCGUCUCCGGCCAUCCUUGGGGAGAGUCUGUCUGGCAUUAAGUUGUCGGGCAGAGGAUCCUCAUCGUUUACUGUGAAAAAAUUAGAGUGUUCAAAGCAGGCUUAUGCCGUUGAAUAUAUUAGCUUGGAAUAAUAAGAUAGGACUUUGGUACUAUUUUGUUGGUUUGCGCACCAAAGUAAUGAUUAAUAGGGACAGUUGGGGGUAUUCGUAUUCCGUUGUCAGAGGUGAAAUUCUUGGAUUUACGGAAGACGAACUACUGCGAAAGCAUUUACCAAGGAUGUUUUCAUUAA
rnacentral:rRNA from 1 species